UCCCUUGUGACUGAGUAAGGCUUAAGGUUGCGGGCGACUCGUAGAUCCGUUGAGAUCACGCAGGUUCAAAUCCUGCCGAGGGAA
rnacentral:tRNA from 1 species